rnacentral:rRNA from 1 species
GAGCGAACAGACGAGGAGCUUGCUCCUCUGACGUUAGCGGCGGACGGGUGAGUAACACGUGGAUAACCUACCUAUAAGACUGGGAUAACUUCGGGAAACCGGAGCUAAUACCGGAUAAUAUAUUGAACCGCAUGGUUCAAUAGUGAAAGACGGUUUUGCUGUCACUUAUAGAUGGAUCCGCGCCGCAUUAGCUAGUUGGUAAGGUAACGGCUUACCAAGGCAACGAUGCGUAGCCGACCUGAGAGGGUGAUCGGCCACACUGGAACUGAGACACGGUCCAGACUCCUACGGGAGGCAGCAGUAGGGAAUCUUCCGCAAUGGGCGAAAGCCUGACGGAGCAACGCCGCGUGAGUGAUGAAGGUCUUCGGAUCGUAAAACUCUGUUAUUAGGGAAGAACAAAUGUGUAAGUAACUAUGCACGUCUUGACGGUACCUAAUCAGAAAGCCACGGCUAACUACGUGCCAGCAGCCGCGGUAAUACGCAGGUGGCAAGCGUUAUCCGGAAUUAUUGGGCGUAAAGCGCGCGUAGGCGGUUUUUUAAGUCUGAUGUGAAAGCCCACGGCUCAACCGUGGAGGGUCAUUGGAAACUGGAAAACUUGAGUGCAGAAGAGGAAAGUGGAAUUCCAUGUGUAGCGGUGAAAUGCGCAGAGAUAUGGAGGAACACCAGUGGCGAAGGCGACUUUCUGGUCUGUAACUGACGCUGAUGUGCGAAAGCGUGGGGAUCAAACAGGAUUAG